rnacentral:rRNA from 1 species
GGGUAGUAAAGAGUGCGCAGGUCGGUUCUAGUAAGUCAGAUGUAGAAACUCCCCGGGCUUAACCUGGGAACUGCGUUUGAAACUGCAGAGCUAGAGUGCGGCAGAGGGAGGUGGAAUUCCAUGUGUAGCAGUGAAAUGCGUAGAGAUAUGGAAGAACAUCGAUGGCGAAGGCAACCUCCUGGGCUAGCACUGACGCUCAUACACGAAAGCGUGGGGAGCAAACAGGAUUAGAUACCCUGGUAGUCCACGCCCUAAACUAUGUCAACUAGUUGUCGGGUCUUAAUAGACUUGGUAACGUAGCUAACGCGUGAAGUUGACCGCCUGGGGAGUACGGUCGCAAGAUUAAAACCU